ACAAGCGGAGGAGCAUGUGGUUUAAUUCGUAUGAUACGCGAGGAACCUUACCUGGGCGUCGAACGUAAGAUGACUGUAGGUGAAAGCUUACAUCUCUUCGGAGCAUUUUACGAGGUGCUGCAUGGUUGUCGUCAGCUCGUGCCGUGAGGUGUCGGGUUAAGUCCCAUAACGAGCGCAACCCCUACCUUUAGUUGCCAUCAGGUUAAGCUGGGGACUCUAAAGGAACUGCCUACGCAAGUAGUGAGGAAGGCGGGGAUGACGUCAAAUCAGCACGGCCCUUACGUCCAGGGCUACACACGUGCUACAAUGGCCGAUACAGAGGGCAGCUACCUGGUGACAGGAUGCAAAUCUCCAAAGUCGGUCUCAGUUCGGAUCGGAGUCUGCAACCCGACUCCGUGAAGUUGGAUUCGCUAGUAAUCGCGCAUCAGCCAUGGCGCGGUGAAUACGUUCCCGGGCCUU
rnacentral:rRNA from 1 species